rnacentral:rRNA from 1 species
CGGGGUGAGUAAUGUCUGGGAAACUGCCUGAUGGAGGGGGAUAACUACUGGAAACGGUAGCUAAUACCGCAUAACGUCGCAAGACCAAAGUGGGGGACCUUCGGGCCUCAUGCCAUCAGAUGUACCCAGAUGGGAUUAGCUAGUAGGUGGGGUAACGGCUCACCUAGGCGACGAUCCCUAGCUGGUCUGAGAGGAUGACCAGCCACACUGGAACUGAGACACGGUCCAG